GACGAACGCUGGCGGCGUGCUUAACACAUGCAAGUCGAACGGAAAGGCCCUGCUUUUGUGGGGUGCUCGAGUGGCGAACGGGUGAGUAACACGUGAGUAACCUGCCCUUGACUUUGGGAUAACUUCAGGAAACUGGGGCUAAUACCGGAUAGGAGCUCCUGCUGCAUGGUGGGGGUUGGAAAGUUUCGGCGGUUGGGGAUGGACUCGCGGCUUAUCAGCUUGUUGGUGGGGUAGUGGCUUACCAAGGCUUUGACGGGUAGCCGGCCUGAGAGGGUGACCGGCCACAUUGGGACUGAGAUACGGCCCAGACUCCUACGGGAGGCAGCAGUGGGGAAUAUUGCACAAUGGGCGGAAGCCUGAUGCAGCAACGCCGCGUGCGGGAUGACGGCCUUCGGGUUGUAAACCGCUUUCGCCUGUGACGAAGCGUGAGUGACGGUAAUGGGUAAAGAAGCACCGGCUAACUACGUGCCAGCAGCCGCGGUGAUACGUAGGGUGCGAGCGUUGUCCGGAUUUAUUGGGCGUAAAGGGCUCGUAGGUGGUUGAUCGCGUCGGAAGUGUAAUCUUGGGGCUUAACCCUGAGCGUGCUUUCGAUACGGGUUGACUUGAGGAAGGUAGGGGAGAAUGGAAUUCCUGGUGGAGCGGUGGAAUGCGCAGAUAUCAGGAGGAACACCAGUGGCGAAGGCGGUUCUCUGGGCCUUUCCUGACGCUGAGGAGCGAAAGCGUGGGGAGCGAACAGGCUUAGAUACCCUGGUAGUCCACGCUGUAAACGGUGGGUACUAGGUGUGGGGUCCAUUCCACGGGUUCCGUGCCGUAGCUAGCGCUUUAAGUACCCCGCCUGGGGAGUACGGCCGCAAGGCUAAAACUCAAAGGAAUUGACGGGGCCCCGCACAAGCGGCGGAGCAUGCGGAUUAAUUCGAUGCAACGCGUAGAACCUUACCUGGGUUUGACAUGGAUCGGGAGUGCUCAGAGAUGGGUGUGCCUCUUUUGGGGUCGGUUCACAGGUGGUGCAUGCCUGUCGUCAGCUCGUGUCGUGAGAUGUUGGGUUAAGUCCCGCAACGAGCGCAACCCUUGUUCACUGUUGCCAGCACGUUAUGGUGGGGACUCAGUGGAGACCGCCGGGGUCAACUCGGAGGAAGGUGGGGAUGACGUCAAGUCAUCAUGCCCCUUAUGUCCAGGGCUUCACGCAUGCUACAAUGGCUGGUACAGAGAGUGGCGAGCCUGUGAGGGUGAGCGAAUCUCGGAAAGCCGGUCUCAGUUCGGAUUGGGGUCUGCAACUCGACCUCAUGAAGUCGGAGUCGCUAGUAGUCGCAGAUCAGCAACGCUGCGGUGAAUACGUUCCCGGGGCU
rnacentral:rRNA from 1 species